ACACCCUAAGAUAAUUCAGACACAGAAAGGAUAGUAAGACUGGCUACUGAGACUCCCAUCUGAUGUGGAACUUUCAUGCUUGGUGACUAUUUGUUGGCUUUUCUUCUGUCUCAGCAGUGACCGCAACGACCUUUAGUGCCAGAUCAAAUUCCUCAACUUCAUAAAUCAUUCUGAUAUUGGCCCGAUGUUCUGGGCAAGCAACAUAUUGUUCAUCACAUCAGGAGCUUCUUCAUCCCGAAAAAUAAUUCUUUCAGCUUCAAUUAAAUAUUUAAUUGCCUUGUUGAGGGUACAACAAUCCUCUAUACCGUUUCCUACUGCUCCAGAGUGGUAUUCACAUCUAACAUCAGCUCAGUGCAAGGGGGAAUCGUGGUUUGGCCGGUUUGGGGCCACUGGUUGCAACAAAUUUAACCUGAUUAACUUUUGGAACAAGCUUCCAUGCGAUUCACCAAUAUGGGUGAAGUGAUUCUUUCUGAAAGGCUUUCUUGGGUGAGGAUUGUACCGGGGAUCAUUUGGUUGAGCACCUUUAGCUGCUAUGUAUUGCCCAUAAGUCCUGCU
rnacentral:lncRNA from 1 species